rnacentral:lncRNA from 1 species
AGGGGAGGGCGCCAGGGUUGAGGUAGGGCCGCAAGGGUUGAGGAGGGCUCCAAGGUUGAGGGAGGGCGCCAAGGGUUGAGGAGGGCGCAAGGUUGAGGAGGGACCAAGGUUGAGGAGGGCGCCAAGGGUGAGGGGGGCGCCACGGGUGGAGGGAGGGCGCCACGGUUAGGGAGGGCGCCACGGUUGAGGGGAGGGCGCCAAGGGUGGAGGGGAGGCGCCAAGGUUGAGGGAGGGCGCCAGGGGGUUGAGGGAGGGGCGCCAAGGUUGAAGGAGGGCCCAAGGUGGAGGAGGGCGCCAAGGGUUGAGGGAGGGCGCCAAGGGUUUGAGGAGGGGCGCCAGGGUUGAGGGAGGGCCGCCACGGUUUGAGGAGGCCAAAGGUUGAGGGAGGCGCCAAGGGUUUGAGGAAGGGCGCCAAGGGUUAGGAAGGCGCCAAGGGUUGAGGAGGGCGCAAGGUUGGGAAGGGCGCCAAGGUGGAGGAAGGGCUCCAAGGGUUGAGGAAGGGCGCCAAGGUUUUGAUGAAGGGCGCCAAGGGUUUGAGGAAGGGCGCCAGGGUUGAGGAAGGCGCCAAGGGUUGAGGAAAGGGCGCAAGAGGGAGGAAGGGAGCCAAGGGGGAGGGAGGGAGCCAAUGGGGAGGAGGGAGCCAAGGGGGAGGGAGGGACCAGGGGGAGGGAGGGACCAAGGGGAGGAGGGAGGGUGCCAGCUCAUGGUAGGGUGCCAGCUCAUGGUAGGGUGCCAGCUCAUGGUCGUCAGGCUGAACUCUAAAUGGGAUCUGAGGAGACUGUGUAAGACGGUCGGCGCUGUGGCCCUGCCUAGACUGGUGAGUUCCCCUUACUGACAGGGUAGAGUGGGUGUUGACUGUAUUCGUACCCAAUCGUUUGUUUCCUUCAUACAAGGAACUCAGUCCAUUGUAAUAUAUUCAUUAGGCUCUGAUCUAUGGAUUUCACGUGACUGGGAAUACAGACAUACAUCUGUAGGUCACAGAUACUGGGAAUACAGACAGAUACACAAAGUAGGGGUGUGAAUCAGAAAACCAGUCGGUAACUACACAAAUAUAUUGGUACAGUUUAUUAAUCGUGAAAGGCAAUGGACCUCUUGAGGUGAUGACAGCCUAAUACAGAUUCAUGUCUGUUCUACGAAAUAUGUUUCCCCUAAUAAAGACAUUACUGUUACAAUGUCCGCUGAACUGACAUGGUUGU